ACGAAUCCAGCGGUUGAAAGUAAAGGUGGUCAGUCGGCUGAUGUAACGCCGACUUCCACUGAAGAGACAAAACAUUAUCUGACGAAACUGAAUGAUCGUUCUUCCCGACACCGAUGCUCCAAUCCGCCGUCCUCGCCGUCACGUCCUCCUCCGAUCCGAUUUGACGACGUCGCGCCGCCUCGCCUCGCCAUCGCGUCCUCCUCCUCCGAGCUGCUGGCCUCCCGUCGCUGCCCUCGCCGUCCCGUCCUCCUCCUCCUCCGAGCCGGGGCCUCCCGACGCUCACUCGCCUGGCGGUUGUUCCAGGGCGUCGAGUACGGCGGGCCAAGCAACCAGGAACGCAUCUGGCCAGACGCCCUGCUGCGCAUCGCCUCCUGAUCCCAGAUUCCAGGAUUGCGAAUACGUCAAGAGGAGUGCUUCACCGUCGCCUACUGUUCAGGGGCGAGGUAGGUACUGCCGCUCUUAAUGCCCGACGAUCGUUAUGGGCAUGCUAUAUCAGUGGCGGAGGACGGAUAAAAAUUGAGGAAAUUUUGAAGUCACGUUCUUAGUGCAGAAUUUUGGAAAGCAGAACAAAUAAACCAUCCAAGGUAGUAGGAGCUUGCACCAAACAGUAAUCUCAGUAGAAGACAACAAAGUAGAAGGACAAAAGCUAGACCUCCUAGAGUUUCAGUGCUUUCUCGACGCCUCAACGCCUACAGGUACG